rnacentral:misc_RNA from 1 species
AACGCACCUUGCGCUCCUUGGUAUUCCGAGGAGCAUGCCUGUUUGAGUGUCAUUAAAUUCUCAACCCAUUCAGUUUUAAUGACUGAUAUGCGGCUUGGAUAUUGGGGGUGUUUGCAGGCCUUACACUAAGGUCAGCUCCCCUGAAAUACAUUAGCAGAACGGUUUGCAAUCCGUCACUGGUGUGAUAAUUAUCUACGCCAUAGGAUUGCUCUCAGUGUUGUUCAGCUUCUAAUGGUCCCUUCAUAAGGACAACUUUUGACAGUUUGACCUCAAAUCAGGUAGGACUACCCGCUGAACUUAA